CCUACGGGGAGCUGCAGUCGAGAAUCAUUCACAAUGGGGGAAACCCUGAUGGUGCGACGCCGCGUGGGGGAAUGAAGGUCUUCGGAUUGUAAACCCCUGUCAUGUGGGAGCAAAUUAAAAAGAUAGUACCACAAGAGGAAGAGACGGCUAACUCUGUGCCAGCAGCCGCGGUAAUACAGAGGUCUCAAGCGUUGUUCGGAAUCACUGGGCGUAAAGCGUGCGUAGGCUGUUUCGUAAGUCGUGUGUGAAAGGCGCGGGCUCAACCCGCGGACGGCACAUGAUACUGCGAGACUAGAGUAAGGGAGGGGGAACCGGAAUUCUCGGUGUAGCAGUGAAAUGCGUAGAUAUCGAGAGGAACACUCGUGGCGAAGGCGGGUUCCUGGACAUUAACUGACGCUGAGGCACGAAGGCCAGGGGAGCGAAAGGGAUUAGAUACCCCUGUAGUC
rnacentral:rRNA from 1 species